rnacentral:piRNA from 1 species
UCCUGUGAUGGCGGUGGGCACUGGCACAA